rnacentral:rRNA from 1 species
UACGGGGGGGGCAAGCGUUGUUCGGAAUUACUGGGCGUAAAGGGCGCGUAGGCGGCCAACUAAGUCAGACGUGAAAUCCCCCGGCUUAACCAGGGAACUGCGUCUGAUACUGGAUGGCUUGAGUUUGGGAGAGGGAUGCGGAAUUCCAGGUGUAGCGGUGAAAUGCGCAGAUAUCAGGAGGAACACCCAUAGCGAAGGCGGCACUCUGGGCCGAUACUGACACUGAGGAGCGAAAGCGUGGGGAGCGAACAGG